AAUUAGCUUUGAUAACAAGAGAUAGCUAUCUUUCAAAUAUCACUUGUGUGUACUUUAUACUACUCUUCAAAUCAUAUCUGUAGCCAACACUCUUACAAUUCUAAUUGCUCUCAACCUUGUUUGAGUGGUCCAUUGUUAUACAUAUUCAAUAUUAUAAAACUCACAAUAAGUUAGUCAAAAUUUGUGAAUAAAAACAACAGUUGAUUAUUAUACAUACACAACAAUAUCUUAAUAAAUUGAAGACUCAGAUUUAUAAAGAUUCUUUCACUGAAAUUUAUUCAACUCAGAAUAUUAUUACAGAAUUAUCUAAUCAACUUAUAAGUAAUAUAGAUGAUGAUAAUGAAAUCUCACUGAGAUUGAAGAUUAAGAAAUACUAUAAAGAAAAAAAUAUGUUAGAAUUUAAGAAUUAUAAAGAUUAUAUAUUGACUCUUUUUGCAUAUCAUUGCUACUACUAUUACACAGAAGAAUGCAAGAUUAAUAAUAUCAAACUGUAUCUUAAUACUCACAUCAAACAGAAAUAAUUGAACUUUGUAUUAUUAUAUAAGUAAUGUGAGAGAGCAGUGCUGUUGAUAUUUGACAACAUAUUAUCACAUCUAGAGAUAUAAAUUAAUAACUCAAAAAAUUAACAUUAACUAACAAGUCAAAGAUUUCAAGAUGCAAAACAACAGAACUGACAGUUGAUAUAAGACUUUGUUAAAUAUCUGAAGAACUGAGAGUAUUAUUUACUUUUAUAUAAUAAGAAGUAAGGAAUAAAUAAUCUGUGAACUAGAGUACUGA
rnacentral:sRNA from 1 species